UGCUCAACACAGCUGCGCUGCCAGUCGCAAGGGCCUCCCUCUAGAUUUUUCCUGACCUGAUGGAUUUGUGGUGAUGUUCAGUCUCCUGGGGAA
ensembl:misc_RNA